rnacentral:rRNA from 1 species
AUGCUAGUACUCAAGUUAGAUUUCCAGAAAGCGUUUGACAGUGUCAGCUGGGAUGCUCUAAAGCUCAUCCUUGCAGCCAGAGCUUUUGGAAGCAGAUGGGUCAAAUGGAUACAUGAUAUCCUAUCAACUAGUUCGUCCAGGAUAAUAAUCAAUGGAUCUUUUGGGGAGAGGAUUGUAUCAAGAAGUGGUUUAAGGCAGGGGGAUGCCCUCUCUCCCUACCUCUUCAUCCUGGCAGCUGAUGUUUUGCAAUAG